AAAAGGGAAAAGUUGGAAAUUUCGGAAUUUCGUCGGAUCGUCGUCAAUCUUUCGAAGGCGAUUUCUCGAUGGUACUAUUUUCGGACGUUCUUGAUCGAAUUUUCUUCAUCGUCGGUAAAGGCAAGUGAAUGUAUUGUAUGACUAUGCUUUAACCUAAUAUUGGGUUGCCUACAUUCUUUAAUUACAGUGCAUUCAUCUAAUCUGAAUGACUGAUUCUGGACUGAGUACUAUGUUGUUUACGUUUCCAGAAGUUUACUCGAUGAUUGAUUUAUGAAGUGCAGUAGGCAUAAUAUGCCAUUCUGCAGUUGUUCAUUAGUGUUGUAUGCGAUGUUUUUUUUUGAAGUCUCAAGCAUAUUCCGGAAGUUAUGUUGGUUAUGCUUGAAGCACGUCAUACAUAUAUGUCUCAUGCAUUGGAAGUUUGUCGUCGUCUUCUGGCCGCGACCGUACCGGUACAGUACCGUAUGUCACCCGAGAAGGGGUACGGUGCACACCCUUACGUUACCCGAGGAGGGGUAAGGGUGAGAAGAGCAUGUCAUGUGCAUGGUUAUGUCUUCUUGUGAAAUUCAAUGAAUUAUUCAUAUCAAAUCUUAUUUCCUUUAAUUAGCAUGUAUAUAGAUAUAUAUGCGGCUCUGAAGGCUUAUACCAACCGAAUGUUAAAAUGUUUAAUGUUAUCGUUGGAUUUGCUUAGUCAUAACUGUUUCUCCUGGUGUUGGCGGUCUGUUUCAUUACUAGUUUCUAUUUAGAAUUGUUAGCAUAUUCAACUGUGGCUAAAUAGCUUUUUGUUAAAGUACCUUUCACUUGCUGAGAUUUUCGAAUCUCACCCGUGUUUUUUUUACAGGUAUGUUUAGAUGUUGACGUGCAUUUUGGGGAUGGAUCUCGGUAGCUGCACACACUAACUUAUCACGAUGUCGAUAGCUCAACCGGUGUAUACAAGUGGUGUGUCUGAUGGUCCGUCGUUUGUUUUUGUUUAUGUUGUGGUACGACGCUGGUAGCGUCGUGGUGGACUCUAUAUAUAUGCUGGUUAUAUCUGUUUCUGCCUGCCUGUGAUAUUUCUUUUGGUCAGUUAUACCUCUCUAUAGAGGAAAUACUGCCAAAAUUUCCUUUUUUAUAUAUAAAUAGGCUUGGUUGUAAAGUAGGGUGUUACAGCUUGGUAUCAGAGCCUAGGCUUUAGAUCCUAGGUAAUU